rnacentral:rRNA from 1 species
CUCGAGGCCAGAUCUUUCCGGUUGAUCCUGCCGGAUCUGACUGCUAUCGGAUUGAUACUAAGCCAUGCGAGUCUUUGUAGCAAUACAAGGCAGACGGCUCAGUAACACGUAGUCAAUCUACCCUAUGGAUGGGGAUAACCUCGGGAAACUGAGAAUAAUACCCGAUAGAUCAUUGUGCCUGGAAUGGUUUAUGGUCGAAAUGAUUUAUCGCCGUAGGAUGGGACUGCGGUCUAUCAGCUUGUUGGUGAGGUAAUGGCCCACCAAGGCUAUAACAGAUACGGGCUCUGAGAGGAGAAGCCCGGAGAUGGGUACUGAGACACGGACCCAGGCCCUAUGGGGCGCAGCAGGCGAGAAAACUUUGCAAUGUGCGAAAGCACGACAAGGUUAAUCCGAGUGUUUUCUGCUAAAGAAAUCUUUUGUCAGUCCUAAAAACACUGAUGAAUAAGGGGUGGGCAAGUUCUGGUGUCAGCCGCCGCGGUAAAACCAGCACCUCAAGUGGUCAGGAGGAUUAUUGGGCCUAAAGCAUCCGUAGCCGGCCGUGUAAGUUUUCGGUUAAA